rnacentral:rRNA from 1 species
AUUGAACGCUGGCGGCAGGCCUAACACAUGCAAGUCGAACGGUAACAGGAAGAAGCUUGCUUCUUUGCUUACGAGUGGCGGACGGGUGAGUAAUGUCUGGGAAACUGCCUGAUGGAGGGGGAUAACUACUGGAAACGGUAGCUAAUACCGCAUAACGUCGCAAGACCAAAGAGGGGGACCUUCUGUCCUCUUGCCUUCGGAUUUGCCCAGAUGGGAUUAGCUAGUAGGUUGGGUAACGUCUCACCUAGGCAACGAUCCCUACCUGGUCUGAGAGGAUGACCAGCAAGACUGGAACUGAGACACGGACCAGACUCCUACGGGAGGCAGCAGAGGGGAAUAUUGCAGAAUGGGCGAAAGCAUGAUGCAGAAAGGCGGAGUGUAUGAAGAAGGACUUAGGGUUGUAAAGUAAGUUCAGCGGGGAGGAAGGGAGUAAAGAUAAAAACAGGGCUAAUUGACGUUAACAGAAGAAGAAGCAACGGCUAACUACGUG